UAAAAGGUAAGCUAAUAAAGCUGUUGGGUUCAUACCCCAUUUAUAAAGGCAUUACUCCUUUCCUUUUUA
rnacentral:tRNA from 1 species